GAAUGCCUAGGGACAAGUUGCCGACGAAGGACGCGUAAGCGGCGAAACGCUCCGGGGAGCUGCACAAAAGUGUUGAUCCGGAGAUAUCCGAAUGGGGAAACCCGGCGGGGGUAAAGCCUCGUCAUCCGUCUCUGAAUACAUAGGGGGCGAGAAGGGCACCGGCUGAACUGAAACAUCUAAGUAAGCCGAGGAAAAGAAAUCGAAGAGAUUCCGUAAGUAGCGGCGAGCGAAAGCGGACCAGCCUAAACCAGACGGUUUACCGCCUGGGGUUGUGGGGCCACUACAAACUCCCUCAAACCGAGUGUCCAGCGAUGGACAUUGGGUUUGAUGGGGUUUGAAAAGAAGAUUGAGUAAGAGUUAGAGGAAGCGAACUGGAACGUUCCGCCAUAGAGGGUGACAGCCCCGUAUUCCAAAAUUCUCUCGAAUUCAAGUGGUACCCGAGUAGCGCGGUACACGAGGAAUUCCGCGUGAAUCUGCCCGGACCACCGGGUAAGGCUAAACACAGCUUGUCACCGAUAGUGCAUCCAGUACCGUGAGGGAAAGGUGAAAAGAACCCCGGUGAGGGGAGUGAAAUAGAACCUGAAAUCGCACGACCCGCAAACAGUCAGAGCACCAUGUCGGGAGCAAUCCCGUCAAGUGUGAUGGCGUACCUUUUGCAGAAUGAGCCUGCGAGUUGUUGGUACCGGCAAGGUUAAGUGUCUUAGACACGGAGCCGGAGGGAAACCGAGUCCGAAUAGGGCGUCAAGUCGGUAUUAGCAGACCCGAAACUGCGUGAUCUAGCCAUGGCCAGGUUGAAGUGUUGGUAACACAACAUGGAGGACCGAACUCAUUGACGUUGAAAAGUCUCGGGAUGAGCUGUGGUUAGUCCGGUGAAAUGCCAAUCGAACGCAGAGAUAGCUGGUUCUCCCCGAAAUGCAUUUAGGUGCAGCGUUACGCGUUGUUGUCAGGGGGUAGAGCACUGAAUGGGCUAGGGGGCCUACCAGCUUACCGACCCCAACCAAACUCCGAAUACCUGACAAUAAGCGUAGCAGUGAGACGGUGAAGGCUAAGCUCCAUCGUCAAAAGGAAAACAGUCCAGAUCGACAGCUAAGGGCCCUAAACAUAGAUUAAGUGUGAAACGAUGUGAGAUCGCGUAAACAGCCAGGAGGUUGGCUUGGAAGCAGCCACCCUUUAAAAAGUGCGUAAUAGCUUACUGGCCGAAUGUGAAUUUGCGCGGAAAAUGUAAGGGGGCUUAAGCUUCCUCCCGAAGCUACGGGAUCCCACAAGAGUGGUGAUCGGUAGGGGAGCGUCGUAUAUGCGGUGAAGCCAAAGCGGAAGCCUUGGUGGAGCGUAUUCGAGUGAGAAUGCAGACAUGAGUAGCGAUAACAGGGGUGAGAAUCCCCUGCGCCGAAAACCUAAGGUUUCUCCGGCCAUGUUCGUCAGACGGAGGUUAGGCGGUCCCUAAGGCCAGGCCAGAAGGCGUAGCCGAUGGACAUCCGGUCGAAAUUCCGGACCCGGGCCACGGGCCAUGGGAGGACGCUUCUUGAUUUCUGAUCCCGCACCGUUGGUUGUUGCGGGCUAGCUAAACGCUGGGCCACUUGAAAGAGUGGCGGAAAGGCGAAUAGCGGGGAAGGAAACCCUUCGGGGGGACUGAACUCAGAAUGAGGGGGGCCGAGAAAAUCCCCACAGCUAUACCGUGGUACCGACCGUACUGCAAACCGACACAGGUAGGUGAGUCGAGGAGACUCAGGCGUUCGAGAGAACUCUCGUUAAGGAACUAGGCAAAUGGGCCCCGUAAGUUAGCAAUAAGGGGCGCCCCGCAAGGGGCCGCAGCGAAGCAUCCCAGGCGACUGUUUACCAAAAACACAGGUCUCUGCUAAGGUGAAAACCGAUGUAUAGGGGCUGACGCCUGCCCAAUGCUCGUAGGUUAACAGGAGGUGUUAGGGGUAACCCGAAGCACUGAAUCGAAGUCCGAGUGAAUGGCGGCCGUAACUCUAACGGUCCUAAGGUAGCGAAAUUCCUUGUCGGCUAAAUACCGACCCGCAUGAAAGGCGUAACGACUUGGGAACUGUCUCAACGAGAAGCUCGGUGAAAAUGUAGCACCCGUGAAGAUGCGGGUUACGCGCAGUAGGACGGAAAGACCCCGUGGAGCUUUACUACACCUUCAGAUUGUCGUUUGGGUGUAGAUGUAGAGCGUAGGUGGGAGCUUCGGCACCAAUGGAACACCACCCUUUUACAUCUGGACGACUAACAUGGUCCCUUAUCGGGAUUGUGAACAUUCUGUGGCGGGUAGUUUGACUGGGGCGGUCGCCUCCUAAAAGGUAACGGAGGCGUACAAAGCUGCACUCAGACUGGUCAGAAAUCAGUCGUUGAGCAUAUAGGUAUAGAGUGCGGUUGACUGUGAGACAAACAAGUCGAGCAGGUGCGAAAGCAGGUCUAAGUGACCCUCUGGUGGUGCGUGGGCACGCCAGGGUUCAACGGAUAAAAG
rnacentral:rRNA from 1 species